rnacentral:rRNA from 1 species
GCUCGAGUGGCGAACGGGUGAGUAACACGUGAGUAACCUGCCCUCGACUUUGGGAUAACUUCAGGAAACUGGGGCUAAUACCGGAUAGGAGCUCCUGCUGCAUGGUGGGGGUUGGAAAGUUUCGGCGGUUGGGGAUGGACUCGCGGCUUAUCAGCUUGUUGGUGGGGUAGUGGCUUACCAAGGCUUUGACGGGUAGCCGGCCUGAGAGGGUGACCGGCCACAUCGGGACUGAGAUACGGCCCAG